rnacentral:rRNA from 10 species
GCGACCCCAGGUCAGGCGGGAUCACCCGCUGAGUUUAAGCAUAUCAAU